rnacentral:rRNA from 1 species
AGAGUUUGAUCCUGGCUCAGGAUGAACGCUAGCUACAGGCUUAACACAUGCAAGUCGAGGGGAAACGAUAGAGAAAGCUUGCUUUUUCUAGGCGUCGACCGGCGCACGGGUGAGUAACGCGUAUCCAACCUGCCCACCACUUGGGGAUAACCUUGCGAAAGUAAGACUAAUACCCAAUGACGUCUCUAGAAGACAUCUGAAAGGGAUUAAAGAUUUAUCGGUGAUGGAUGGGGAUGCGUCUGAUUAGCUUGUUGGCGGGGUAACGGCCCACCAAGGCAACGAUCAGUAGGGGUUCUGAGAGGAAGGUCCCCCACAUUGGAACUGAGACACGGUCCAAACUCCUACGGGAGGCAGCAGUGAGGAAUAUUGGUCAAUGGGCGAGAGCCUGAACCAGCCAAGUAGCGUGCAGGAUGACGGCCCUAUGGGUUGUAAACUGCUUUUAUAAGGGAAUAAAGUGAGCCUCGUGAGGCUUUUUGCAUGUACCUUAUGAAUAAGGACCGGCUAAUUCCGUGCCAGCAGCCGCGGUAAUACGGAAGGUCCGGGCGUUAUCCGGAUUUAUUGGGUUUAAAGGGAGCGUAGGCCGGAGAUUAAGCGUGUUGUGAAAUGUAGAUGCUCAACAUCUGCACUGCAGCGCGAACUGGUUUCCUUGAGUACGCACAAAGUGGGCGGAAUUCGUGGUGUAGCGGUGAAAUGCUUAGAUAUCACGAAGAACUCCGAUUGCGAAGGCAGCUCACUGGAGCGCAACUGACGCUGAAGCUCGAAAGUGCGGGUAUCGAACAGGAUUAGAUACCCUGGUAGUCCGCACGGUAAACGAUGGAUGCCCGCU